UACGUAGGGUGCGAGCGUUGUCCGGAAUUAUUGGGCGUAAAGAGCUCGUAGGCGGUCUGUCGCGUCGAUCGUGAAAACUUGGGGCUUAACCCUGAGCUUGCGGUCGAUACGGGCAUGACUGGAGUUCGGCAGGGGAGACUGGAAUUCCUGGUGUAGCGGUGAAAUGCGCAGAUAUCGGGAGGAACAUCUGUGGCGAAGGCGGCCAUCUGGACCAGCACUGACACUGAGGCACGAAAGCGUGGGGAGCGAACGGG
rnacentral:rRNA from 1 species